GUGUGAGAGAGAAAUAAACCCGGUGCUGAUAAGGUCGUCGUAGCAGCAGCUCCGGAGGGCCCACCGCGGGCUUUGGAUCGGAAAUUCUCUCAGGUGUUCGGCGAGCGUACAGCCGGUGAAGAAGUUCAGGAAGAUACGCAUUGAAACAAGGCUACUCCGAAUCAUCCUCCGGUUCUGCUGGGCCGCCUCAAUUGAGGUUCAAGCUCAACCCUGAAGAUGAUUCGAAUUUCUUGGAGGAUGAGAACACCAAGAUGUUCACAAGAAAGGUGGCGGAUCAUUACAGUGCAAGGAAAAAUCAAACUUUGGAGGAGCGAGAUGCUAGUCCGAUUAUGCAUUUGAAAAAGCUGAACAAUUGGAUUAAGAGUGUCUUGAUUCAGCUGUAUGCUUGCCGUGGCGACUCUGUUCUUGAUCUUUCUUGUGGCAAGGGAGGGGAUCUAAUUAAGUAGGACAAGGCUAAAAUUGGGUACUACGUUGGUAUCGACAUUGCUGAGGGAUCGGUAAGUGCUGAAAUCUUGUAAUAGUAAACUCCAUUAGCUGACAUUCUUUUUAUAAAUACAUUGUUACAGCGAUGGAAUCAUUUUUAAUUGUCUGUCUAUGCUGUUCAUCAAAGUUUGUCUUUCAUUUGGAGUCUAGAGUAUCAUUCUAGAAUCAUUUUUCAUUGUUUUGCCAUGGAAUUACUGGCCUCAAACUUAUUAGGUGUAAGUUUGUACCAUACUUGUAGAUUUCUAGUUGGUUUAAGUUAAAACUAUAAAGAAGCAUUUUGUAUUCAGGUCUGUAGUUUGUGUUCUUGUUCACUAUUAAGUGUUGUAGAGUGCUCAUUAGAAUCUUGUUUGGUGUGGGUUGAAGAUCUCUGUCUUGUGAAUAAACUUGCAGAAAUUUCUAGUCUGAUGAUAUUCAAUUAAUUUAUAUAGUCCUAAGAGAUUUUAUAGAAUCUUCGUGUUUGAUUCAAUUAAUUUCUGGAGUCCCAAAUUGAGAGGUUUUAUCAUGUGUUUGAUCUUGGUUUUUGAUCAUUCCAACAGAUAUAGGGUACUAGUCUCUGAACUUUGCUUGUUUGUUAUUCACUUGUUUUGAUUUUGAUUUUUUUGUUCUGAGAAAGAAAUAAAACACUGGAGACAACCUGAUAAUAUGUUGAUUCAUCACAUACUCUUCGUAACAGUAUGAUCACUAUUGUUCGUGGUACUACCCUUCUUCAUUCAUUUUUUCCAAGUAUGCGUUUUGCUUUUGGGGGUGUAUUUCCUGAGGACAAGGUAUCUAUGUAUCUGUGCUCAGUUCUUGUCAAGACAUGCUGAUGCCUUUUUAGUUCUGAUAUUUUAAUUUAACUUUAUAAUGUUAUGUUUUAAAAUAUUCACAGAUAGAGGAUUACCGUACCCGUUACAAUGUUUUAUAAAGUGUUAGGAUUUUAGUCUGUAUAACACUUCUGUUUAUCUAUUUUGAACUUGGUGGUCUCUCGU